AGACGGGGGGGGCGAGCGUUGUUCGGAAUUACUGGGCGUAAAGGGCGCGCAGGCGGCUUGGGAAGUCUUGGGUGAAAGCCCCCAGCUCAACUGGGGAAUGGCCUGAGAAACCACUAGGCUGGAGUGCUGGAGAGGGAAGCGGAAUUCCCGGUGGAGCGGUGAAAUGCGUAGAUAUCGGGAGGAACACCAGAGGCGAAGGCGGCUUCCUGGACAGACACUGACGCUGAGGCGCGAAAGCUAGGGGAGCAAACGGGAUUAGAAACCCCAGUAGUCC
rnacentral:rRNA from 1 species